rnacentral:rRNA from 1 species
AGAUUGCAGGCUGCAACCCGCCUGCAUGAAGUCGGAAUUGCUAGUAAUCGCGGAUCAGAAUGCCGCGGUGAAUACGUUCCCGGGUCUUGUACACACCGCCCGUCACACCAUGGGAGCCGGAAACGCCCGAAGCCAGCGGCCCAACCGCAAGGGGGGAGCUGUCGAAGGCGGGUCGGAUGACUGAGGUGAAGUCGUAACAAGGUAAC